rnacentral:lncRNA from 10 species
GCACCCGACCCCUUGCGCGUUCCGGCUCCGCGCGCCUGCCAGGCCGGGGCCGGCGGCGGAACAGCUUGGGACCCGAAACGCCUCGGCUUUUCUGCGGACCCGCGCCCGGCCGCUGCCGCCGGACGCUUGAAAAGAGGCAGAGUCUUGCUUUGUUGUCCAGGCUGGUCUUGAACUUCUGAGCUCAAGUGAUCCUCCCGCCUUGGCCUCCCAAAGUGCUGAGACUACAGAGAGAGAAUGCUAACGAGCUGUGAAAUGACCAAAGAUCUGGCAGCAGAAGGGAAAAGAAAAAAUAAUGGGAAGAAGAGGAUUUAUCUGACUCAACUGGAGAUGGCUCCCUUCCCUUAUUUAUUGUUGCAUCCUGAAGCUUCCCCCAUGCUGGGCUCAGUGUGAACAAACAGCGCGGGAGAAUGCAACCACUGCAGAGGCAUAUGUUUGAGAUACCUGGCCACUGGAGGUCAUCUCGUCUACUAUAUUCACCGCAGAUAAAGAAUGAAAAGAGAAUACACAACCUUGUGAUUGCUAGCAGUGAAAGCUCAGAGUUAUGACAUAACAGGUACAAAUUGAUCUGACUUGAUUUGUCAGAGAGCCAGAACUGC